UUUUGGAGAAUGUAAAAUAAUAGUCCAUAGAUAUUGAAUGCCUAGCAUGUGCCAAGCAGUGUCCUAAAAAUCUUAAUGAUUUUCCAAUACUGUGAGGCAGGAAUUGUUACUGAUUUUUUAGAUGAGGAAAUCAAGGAAUAGAGAGGAUAGAAAACAUGUCCAAUGCCAUGGAGCUAGCAAUUUAAUGACUUCAGUCCAGGCAAUCGGGCUCCAUAGUUAAUGUUCCUGACCAUAUCGUUGUUACAUUCAGUUGCUCCUAUAAUUAAGAAAAUUCUAUUAGCUUACAUUUGCCUCCACUUUCUGUAUUUUAAAAUAUUUUCCCUGUGAUAUAAAUUAUUAUUUCUUAUUUUUCUUGAAGUACAAAAGAAUGUGAUGGAAAAAAAGUAACAUUGUCCAAAAAGUUCUGCUUAAAGUAGGUUUCAGAGUCUGGAGACAGUGUUGUGUAAUGAGGACAUGAGUCCUUCUGCAAUAUCUCCUUAUUAGAAGGAAACUCAGCUUUCACACAAAUCUGCACCACAAUGGUCCCCAAAGAGACAGUGUCCAACUGAAAGUAACGAAUCCAUUCUUGGGAUGGAGGGGAGAUUUGGCCCUGGAACAAUCUGCAUCGUAGUCUUAGUUUUAAGACUACUAAAGAACAUGAAGGACCUCUGUGAGUGAGAUACCAGUGGAAAGAAGGGACCAUCAAAGAAGGAGAAGGUGGUAAUUAAGCUCAUACCUGAAAGAUGAGCAAGAGUUGGCACAAUGUGGAAGAAGCAGCAAUUCCCGCAGAGGAAUAUGAGUGUCCUGAGCGGAGGAUGGCCCAAGUGCUUGUGCCCCUGCAUCCACGUGGGAGACCUGGAAGACGUUCCUGGUUCCUGGCUUCAGCCUGACCCAGCCCCAGCCAUUGCAGCCACUUGGGGAGUGAACCAG